UUCAAGGAUCUUAUUGAAUAGAGAGUCUGAAGCUCUUAUACUGCACAUUUCUUUGACGUGUCUUAAAAAGGAAAAUAAUAUUUCUUGAUAACGAAACUUGUCAAGUCAGUAAUGGAGACGAAGUGCUGUUCCACGUACUGAUAUACACGGCGAAAAUUGAAGGGCAGACUACACAAACAACUCGAGUGUAUGAGGACGUAGGGUAGCUGUGAGUCACUUCCAGUGAGUCCGGCUGCAAUGUACUUCAGUCAGCACUGACCGGGUCACGACUACACAAUGAAGUUUGAAACGAAGAGAACACAGGUUGCAACCGCUGUCAUGCUGAUAGCAUAUUUUACAAUGUACAGUGUCGUGACGUCAGCUCCAGUAACAGAAUCUGCAUUUUACGUGACGAACCCAUCCAGUGCGAUCAGAAAUUUGUUAGCAAAUCCUUCAAAUGAAGUAUUUCAGAACCCCCAAACUGGUUAUCCCUAUUAUCAAUAUCCCUAUCAGUAUAUCCCGAACCCAUAUUACGAAUAUCCUCGCGGUGGAUACUAUUAUCCUUUAAAUGGUUAUCAGACUGGAGUGGAUGGUUUUCCUCAGAAUGCACAAAACGGAUAUCCUAUCUAUCCACAGUAUGGAUAUCAAUCUCCAUAUAAUUAUUAUCCAUAUGGAUAUGGAAAAUAGGGCGACAAACGUGAAGACGUUACAACGAGCUGUUAUUACGGUCAAGAACUUGAGUUCCUUCAAAACCAGCAACAUUAAAAAAAGGAAAAUUCAAAGUACAAUUAUAAAAUUAUCAUUUUAAGCACUAUUCUUUAUAAAAGGGGAAGAUCGUGAGCAUUUACUGUUUAAAUGUCCAGAAACAAAAAAUGGAGAUGAAAUUUAUGAGCAAGAAGUAGCUGUGUAUAAAUGAGGAUCUUACAUAUAGUAAAAUAAUAAAUGUUACAAAUAAAUCGCUUAAAAUAAAUUUAAAUGUAAAUGGGGAAACACGGAGAAGAAAGCUAAAUAGAUAAUAAUAUCCAGAUGUUACAAAAUGUAAAUUAAAAAUGUGCAUAUGGAACAGAAGAGUACGACAUAAAAUAAGAUGUUAAAAUGAUUUCCUGUCUCACAAUAACUUAUUUGUAAGUGAACUCAAUUUAAAUACCUCUACAAUAAUAAAAAAUUUAAACAGUUCUGAACAUA